rnacentral:tRNA from 1 species
AGCUCAGUUGGUAGAGCACCCGCCUUGUAAGCGGAAGGUCUUCGGUUCGAUUCCGAAA